AACACAUGCAAGUCGAGCGAUGAAGCUCUUCGGAAGUGGAUUAGCGGCGGACGGGUGAGUAACACGUGGGUAACCUGCCUCAUAGAGGGGAAUAGCCUUCCGAAAGGAAGAUUAAUACCGCAUAAGAUUGUAAUAUCGCAUGAUAUAGCAAUUAAAGGAGUAAUCCGCUAUGAGAUGGACCCGCGUCGCAUUAGCUAGUUGGUGAGGUAACGGCUCACCAAGGCGACGAUGCGUAGCCGACCUGAGAGGGUGAUCGGCCACAUUGGGACUGAGACACGGCCCAGACUCCUACGGGAGGCAGCAGUGGGGAAUAUUGCACAAUGGGGGAAACCCUGAUGCAGCCAACGCCGCGUGAGUGAUGACGGUCUUCGGAUUGUAAAGCUCUGUCUUCAGGGACGAUAAUGACGGUACCUGAGGAGGAAGCCACGGCUAACUACGUGCCAGCCGCUGC
rnacentral:rRNA from 1 species